rnacentral:rRNA from 1 species
AAUCAACGCUGGCGGCGUGCCUCAGACAUGCAAGUCGAACGAUUAAGACUUCCUUCGGGAAGUGCAUAAAGUGGCGCACGGGUGAGUAACACGUAAGUAAUCUACCUUCGAGUGGGGAAUAACGUUCGGAAACGAACGCUAAUACCGCAUAAUGCAGCGGCAUCGCAAGAUGACAGUUGUUAAAGGAAUUUAUUUCGCUUGAAGAGGAGCUUGCGGCAGAUUAGCUAGUUGGUAAGGUAACGGCUUACCAAGGCUACGAUCUGUAUCCGGUCUAAGAGGACGGUCGGACACACUGACACUGAAUAACGGGUCAGACUCCUACGGGAGGCAGCAGUCGGGAAUUUUGGGCAAUGGGCGAAAGCCUGACCCAGCAACGCCGCGUGAAGGAUGAAGUAUUUCGGUAUGUAAACUUCGAAAGAAUGGGAAGAAUAAAUGACGGUACCAUUUAUAAGCUCCGGCUAACUACGUGCCAGCAGCCGCGGUAAU